AUUGUAGUCAUAUGCUUGUCUCAAAGAUUAAGCCAUGCAUGUCUAAGCACAAACUUUUACACAGUGAAGCUGCGAAUGGCUCAUUAGGUCACCCAUGAUUUCUUAGAUCGUACAAUCCUACUUGGAUAACUGUGGUAAUUCUAGAGCUAAUACAUGCGAGCAAGCUCCGACCCCUCGGGGAAAGAGCGCGUUUAUUAGAUCAAAACCAAUCGGACUCUCGGGUCCGUACGUUUGGUGACUCUGGAUAACUUUGUGCGGAUCGCACGGGCUUGACCCGGCGACGUAUCUUUCAAGUGUGUGCCCUAUCAACUUUCGAUGGUACGCGAUAUGCCUACCAUGGUUGCAACGGGUAACGGGGAAUAAU
rnacentral:rRNA from 1 species